GAAUGGCAUUGUGAUUGGUGGAGCUGGAAAGGGGGUGAGUGGUAAAGAGGUGCCCUAACCUAUUGUGGCUGAGCAAGGCAAAGGGAAAGAGAAGGAGAUCCAGCUGGAGGAGGCUGGAAAUGUGCAGGCCGCAAACCUGGCAACAGCCCGAGUGAAGAAAGCCAGUCUGGCUGCAAGGUCUCCUUUCAACGAGCGGGUUGUUAGACUAACAGCCAAGGCAAACAAUGUCGACAAGGAGCUGUAUUACUAGGUCCUUAGCACAGCCGAGAAAUAUAACGAUUCUGUGGUCUAUCAAGACAGCUUCAAGCAAACCGUGCAGGGCGAGUUCCAGACGUUAGCACCUUUCAAGGCUGUGAGCCCCGCCAUCAUAG